GUAAUCCUUUGGAAACACAACGCUCUUGUUCAGAAAAUGUUCUAAGCAUCAGCCCAGCAAUUACAGCCUAACUUCAGUGAUGGACUUUCUCAAUGGUGGAAUUGUGAUUUCCCAGGAGACACUUCACAGAACUGGUCUUUUCAAGUGGAAAAAUGUAACAAAUUAAAAAAAAUACAUCAAGUGCCUGUUCCUUCUAAUUGCUGCAUGAAGAUAAAGAUGGAAGGAAUCCAAAGUCUGGAUCGCGUCAGGGAGCAGGGCCGGAUCUCAAUGCAGGUGGGAAAUGGGCAUGUUGAAUCUACUUGGUAAAUGGAUGAGAGAAAGAGAUUCUGAAGAACCCGAAGGAGCAGUGACUUUCAAGAAUCUCCAGAGUCAUAUUCUAAAGGCACCAGGUUGCUUAUUGAAACCAGAAAGCAUUGAUAAAGUUGACUUGUUCAAAGUGCUGGUUGGAUUUUCCAAGGAGCCAUUUUUUAACUGCAUUUUCUGAAUUGCCUGUAAAGAAAUAACCACUGACAAACCAAUUCAAUGGUUAGUAUAAAAAAAAGGAAGGACAGUAAAAUGUGGGAGUAAAUGUGGGCUAUUUAGCCCAUCAAUGCUGCUCUGCCAUUCAAUGAGAUCAUGGAUAAUCCUGAAAUACACUUUCCUGCCUU